GCCGAAAUGGCGGAAUUGGCAGACGCGCUAGGUUCAGGUCCUAGUCCGGGUUACACUGGGUGGAGGUUCGAGUCCUCUUUUCGGCA
rnacentral:tRNA from 1 species